UUUCCGUAGGUGAACCUGCGGAAGGAUCAUUCAUAAUAAGUGUUUUAUGGCACUAUUUUAAAUCCAUAUCCACCUUGUGUGCAAUGUCAGGGUUGAUUUUUCUCUCGGGAGGGUCAGCCCCAAACAUCAACUAUAUCUCAACUCUUUGUCUGAAAAAUAUUAUGAAUAAAACAAUUCAAAAUACAACUUUCAACAACGGAUCUCUUGGCUCUU
rnacentral:misc_RNA from 1 species